rnacentral:rRNA from 1 species
AUUGAACGCUGGCGGCAGGCCUAACACAUGCAAGUCGAACGGUAACAGGAAGCAGCUUGCUGCUUUGCUGACGAGUGGCGGACGGGUGAGGAAUGUCUGGGAAACUGCCUGAUGGAGGGGGAUAACUACUGGAAACGGUAGCUAAUACCGCAUAACGUCGCAAGACCAAAGAGGGGGACCUUAGGGCCUCUUGCCAUCGGAUGUGCCCAGAUGGGAUUAGCUAGUAGGUGGGGUAACGGCUCACCUAGGCGACGAUCCCUAGCUGGUCUGAGAGGAUGACCAGCCACACUGGAACUGAGACACGGUCCAGACUCCUACGGGAGGCAGCAGUGGGGAAUAUUGCACAAAGGGCGCAAGCCUGAUGCAGCCAUGCCGCGUGUAUGAAGAAGGCCUUCGGGUUGUAAAGUACUUUCAGCGGGGAGGAAGGGAGUAAAGUUAAUACCUUUGCUCAUUGACGUUACCCGCAGAAGAAGCACCGGCUAACUCCGUG